UUUUUAUGCCCCACCUACGAUAGUAGAGGGGCAUUAUGUUUUCUGGUCUGUGACUCCGUUCGUCCGUCCGUCCAUCCGUCCGUCCAGGUUAAAGUUUUUGGUCAAGGUAGUUUUUGAUGAAGCUGAAGUCCAAUCAACUUGAAACUUAGUACACUUGUUGCUUAUGAGAUGAUCUUUCUAAUUUUUCAGCCAAAUUAGACUUUUGACCCCAAUUUCACGGUCCACUGAACAUA
rnacentral:lncRNA from 1 species